AGGAUCAUCAUUGAAUAAACUUGCACAGGCUGUUGCUGGCCCUGUUGGGGUAGGUGCACGCUUGUGAACUUUAUUUGUCCAACUGUGCACAUAUUGUAGACCUGAAAUAGUAUAUGGGGGGAAAAAUUUUUUUCAAUGUUUUUUUUUCUCGAGUUGGGACUGCUGUGCUUCAUUAUUUGAAGUUGGCUUUGCCUUUGUUCAGGUCUAUGUCAUUUCACAACCUCUUGAAUGCAUCUAGAAUGUUGAAUCAGGUCCAAUUUGGUACCUAUAAAGUUAAAUAUACAACUUUCAGCAACGGAUCUCUUGGCUCUCGCAUCGAUGAAAAACGCAGCGAAAUGCGAUAAGUAAUGUGAAUUGCAGAAUUCAGUGAAUCAUCGAAUCUUUGAACGCAUCUUGCGCUCCUUGGUAUUCCGAGGAGCAUGCCUGUUUGAGUGUCAUUUAAAGUUCUCAACCACAUUAUCAAUGGAAUGUGGCUUGGAUGUGGGGGGGUGUUUUGCAGGCUUCUCUGAGGUCUGCUCCCCUGAAAUGCAUUAGUGGUAUCUGAGCUACUACAGAUGUGAUAAUUAUCUACAUCAAAGUAUGCUGCACACCGCUUCCUAACGGAGUUGAAAUUUGAUGAAUUUGACCUCAAAUCAGGUAGGACUACCCGCUGAACUUAAGCAUAUCAAUAAGCGGAGGAAAAGAAACUAACAAGGAUUCCCCUAGUAACUGCGAGUGAAGCGGGAAGAGCUCAAAUUUGAAAUCUGGCGGUUCUUGACCGUCCGAGUUGUAAUCUAGAGAAGUGUUACCUGUGCUGGACCGUGUACAAGUCUCCUGGAAUGGAGCAUCACAGAGGGUGAGAAUCCCGUCUUUGACAUGGACUGCCUGCACAUUAUGGUGCGCUCUCAAAGAGUCGAGUUGUUUGGGAAUGCAGCUCAAAACGGGUGGUAAAUGCCAUCUAAAGCUAAAUAUUGGCGAGAGACCGAUAGCGAACAAGUACCGUGAGGGAAAGAUGAAAAGAACUUUGGAAAGAGAGUUAAACAGUACGUGAAAUUGCUGAAAGGGAAACGCUUGAAGUCAGUCGCGUUGGCUGGAAAUCAACCUUUGCUUCUGCUUGGUGUACUUUCUGGUCGACGGGUCAGCAUCAAUUUUGACCGUCGGAUAAAGUCUUUGGGAAUGUGGCAUCUCAGGAUGUGUUAUAGCCCAUUGUCGCAUACGGUGGUUGGGAUUGAGGAACUCAGCACGCCGCAAGGCCGGGUUCGACCACGU
rnacentral:rRNA from 1 species